CGAAUUGCCUUAGUAACGGCGAGUGAAGCGGCAAAAGCUCAAAUUUGAAAUCUGGUACCUUCGGUGCCCGAGUUGUAAUUUGGAGAGGGCAACUUUGGGGCCGUUCCUUGUCUAUGUUCCUUGGAACAGGACGUCAUAGAGGGUGAGAAUCCCGUGUGGCGAGGAGUGCGGUUCUUUGUAAAGUGCCUUCGAAGAGUCGAGUUGUUUGGGAAUGCAGCUCUAAGUGGGUGGUAAAUUCCAUCUAAAGCUAAAUAUUGGCGAGAGACCGAUAGCGAACAAGUACAGUGAUGGAAAGAUGAAAAGAACUUUGAAAAGAGAGUGAAAAAGUACGUGAAAUUGUUGAAAGGGAAGGGCAUUUGAUCAGACAUGGUGUUUUGUGCCCUCUGCUCCUUGUGGGUAGGGGAAUCUCGCAUUUCACUGGGCCAGCAUCAGUUUUGGUGGCAGGAUAAAUCCAUAGGAAUGUAGCUUGCCUCGGUAAGUAUUAUAGCCUGUGGGAAUACUGCCAGCUGGGACUGAGGACUGCGACGUAAGUCAAGGAUGCUGGCAUAAUGGUUAUAUGCCGCCCGUCUGAAAAUCGGGAACACAACUUA
rnacentral:rRNA from 1 species